UACGGAGGGGGCUAGCGUUGUUCGGAAUUACUGGGCGUAAAGCGUGCGCAGGCGGUUAUGCAAGACAGAUGUGAAAUCCCCGGGCUCAACCUGGGAACUGCAUUUGUGACUGCAUGGCUGGAGUGCGGCAGAGGGGGAUGGAAUUCCGCGUGUAGCAGUGAAAUGCGUAGAUAUGCGGAGGAACACCGAUGGCGAAGGCAAUCCCCUGGGCCUGCACUGACGCUCAUGCACGAAAGCGUGGGGAGCAAACAGG
rnacentral:rRNA from 1 species